AAACAAAAAAAAAAAAAGGAACCUUUUUAUGUCUAGCAAAGCAUAAAGAGCCUCGCUAUUAUCCAUAACAAAUCCCUAUUGCUCAGUCAUUGAACCAUCGCGUCCAGUAACGACCUCCAAGUGACUCCCCCAGAGCAUAUUCUGCCACCCAAUACUGCCCAAAAUUUGAGAUUCAUCUAGGUUAAGUUUGACCUGAAUCACUCUUCAGCUUGAUUUUGGGGUCACAAGCAUUCUCGGAGACUCGUCGCGCGUUAGUGACGUCACUGUCAUUGACAGAAUUCACAUUCGACUUGUUUGUAGUAGGAUUCAACUGGGUUGAGUUAGUUUUGCCUAGGUUGCAUAAUUAUUAAAGGCUCAAGGAGCACUAAGGCCCCAAAAGGUUUUGGAGCCUAGGAGCAAGGCGUAGGUGUGCGCCUGAG
rnacentral:misc_RNA from 1 species